rnacentral:rRNA from 1 species
GACGUAGGGCGCGAGCGUUGUCCGGAUUUAUUGGGCGUAAAGAGCUCGUAGGCGGCUUGUCGCGUCGACUGUGAAAUCCCGCGGCUCAACUGCGGGUCUGCAGUCGAUACGGGCAGGCUAGAGUUCGGUAGGGGAGACUGGAAUUCCUGGUGUAGCGGUGAAAUGCGUAGAUAUCUGGAGGAACACCGGUGGCGAAGGCGGCAUCCUGGACCGGCAUUGACGCUGAGGAGCGAAAGCCAGGGGAGCAAACGGG